rnacentral:rRNA from 1 species
UACGUAGGGUGCGAGCGUUGUCCGGAAUUACUGGGCGUAAAAAGCUCGUAGGUGGUUUGUCGCGUUGUUCGUGAAAACUCACAACUCAAUUGUGGGCGUGCGGGCGAUACGGGCAGACUGGAGUACUGCAGGGGAGACUGGAAUUCCUGGUGUAGCGGUGGAAUGCGCAGAUAUCAGGAGGAACACCGGUGGCGAAGGCGGGUCUCUGGGCAGUAACUGACGCUGAGGAGCGAAAGCGUGGGGAGCGAACAGG